rnacentral:lncRNA from 1 species
GGGGGAGGCAGGGUGCUGAGACAAUCCAGCUGACAUUUUAAGCAGGAAACGCAACCAUCUGAAUGUAAAGGAGAUAAACCCAGUCUUUACACAGACUGUUCACUCUGGGGAAAUUGAGGUAAAGCGGAACAGGAUUUGGAGCUGGGAAAUGAUGACUGGAGCAAGCAUCUUUGAGAUCACCCUGGCUCUCCCUGCUUCGUGGUUGGUAACCCCUUCUGAGUAUCUAGAAAUGGUGAAAAAGUCAAGGUGAAAAACUCAUGAGGGAUGCUUUUUCCUUUAUCAAAAUUUACACGUAUUUAAAAACAUUGACUUUGCCAAAUAACAUAAAUAGAAAAGAAGUAUUUGUAUAUAAUGGCCUCACAAGGGUCAGUCUUCUCACCACUUCUACAUUUCUAGGACUCUGGAGAGGAGGAAAUGCUUGCUGUCCUCCAGAUCUGAGACCCCAGGAGUUGUUCACCUAGUACUUGUUGCUCUGAAUUUCUUUCAUGGGGCGGGGGGAGCAAAACUUAAAAUAAAAAUAUAAGCUUAAUAUACAAAGUCUCCAGGAAAAUGAAUGUGUGAUCUUAAAUUGACUUUAAAAUGUAAAUGAAGAACAGGAUCAUGUUUUCACUGCGAAGCUCUCACUGGGGCUGGAGAGAAGCUAAUGGUUUGUGGAGGUCAUCAGUGCGCAGUGCACAGCAGCAUCCUUGGGACAAUGACAAGCAUAUCAGCUCUACCCUGUGGUAACCGAAGACUGGAUGCAGAUUUUAUUUCUGCAUAUGAAGGAUCAUAACUAGAAGAGGCAAAUUAUGUAAAAUAAAAUGAAUACCAUUGCUUAUAUAAUUUCUAGACAUAACUUAAAAGUACAGAUUUCAUGGACUUUUUUUUAAAAUGAGGAUCUUGCAAAAAUUAAUCAUUUCAUUUGUUUGUCUUUCUUUUAGAAUGCCGUACAUGUACAAUUUCCUAGUUAUUAAAAACUGAUUUGUAGGGCAUAGGGGAGGGAGGGGGGAAUAUUUCUAAAGAAUCACAAAAUCAUAUUAUUUAAGGUGGUCUUAAAACCUCAGGAGAGCCCAGACAUCUAUUUUGUCAUCAAAGUGUAUUUUUAAGAAAAGUCAGAAAAACAUUAUGCACUGUGACAAAUCCAUAGUUUUAGAGAGGGAAACUGUCUUAGAAUAGAACACUUCUUUUCAAAGAGCAGCCCAGCAAACGCAGCAUUGCCAAAGUUAGAGCAGAGAGAUUUGUCUUCUGGGUCCCUGUUAUAAUCUGCUGGAAGGUCCUGUCUUUUAGUUAUCGCAUGAAAGUAUCCAUGCAGCUACCGAGAAAGAAUAAUUUCUUUUUCAUCAAGUGAGCCACUGACAUUCUGGCAGCCGUUUAAAGAUUACUACUGUGUGCUGUUGCUUUGGCUUCAAUCUCCAUCACAGGCCCAGUGAGGAAGCCAUUUCUAAACAUACUACUCUAAGAGAAGGAGGUAGCAUCUACAUGACAGCCUGUUUGUGUGUGUCAGGGAGAUCUUCCCAGGGAUCCUUACAAAUAUAAAUUGAGUGUGGUCUGCCCAGACAAUUCUAUAGGGCAGAACUAUAGAAAUUUACUAACUGAAAUCUGGGGUAGGUUUCCUCAAGCUAGAGUUACUUAAAGCUGCCAUAAGGGAAACCUGCCUAUGGAUGAGUUGAAGAUGUUUUAGACAGGCCUAGACUUGCAUGUGAAUCACUGCUCAGAGGAGCUGACUGUAGUUCACUCUGAGUUUCAUCCCAGAAUAUGAGUGCUUGUCGACUGCAUAUUAGAAAAGGAUCAGAUGGUUCAAGUUGUCUUUUGAGUAGGCAUCUGAGCAGGCUUUUACUGGGAGGUACCAAAUAUCUGAAAUAAAAAGAUAUCUGUCUACACAGUGGGAGAAGGAGGAUCCGCAGCCGAUACUAGGUCUGUCAGAACUUUGACUUUGAACUUUGAGCGUCUGGAUCUAUAAGAAAUGAAUGUUCUGUUUUUACCGACCCUAGAUAUCAGAUCCUAUUCUAGCAGAGCAAACUGGUUAAGACAAAGGGCCUCUUGAUAUAAACAUUGCUCAACUGCAGCAGAAAAUACAUGUUUUUGCAUGUAUGGGUCCUUGUCUGUCAAAUCUCAAAAGAUGCUAUCUUCCAUCUUCAUUUUAG